rnacentral:rRNA from 1 species
UACGUAGGGUGCGAGCGUUAAUCGGAAUUACUGGGCGUAAAGCGUGCGCAGGCGGUGAUGUAAGACCGAUGUGAAAUCCCCGGGCUUACCUGGGAACUGCAUUGGUGACUGCAUUGCUGGAGUAUGGCAGAGGGGGGGUGGAAUUCCACGUGUAGCAGUGAAAUGCGUAGAGAUGUGGAGGAACACCGAUGGCGAAGGCAGCCCCCCUGGGCCAAUACUGACGCUCAUGCACGAAAGCGUGGGGAGCAAACAGG